rnacentral:misc_RNA from 1 species
GAUGAAGAACGCAGCGAAAUGCGAUAAGUAAUGUGAAUUGCAGAAUUCAGUGAAUCAUCGAAUCUUUGAACGCACAUUGCGCCCGCCAGUAUUCUGGCGGGCAUGCCUGUUCGAGCGUCAUUUCAACCAUCAAGCCCCCGGCUUGUGUUGGGGACCUGCGGCUGCCGCAGGCCCUGAAAACCAGUGGCGGGCUCGCUGUCACACCGAGCGUAGUAGAUUCUCAUCUCGCUCAGGGCGUGCUGCGGGUUCCGGCCGUAAAAAGCCUUAUUUACCCAAGGUUGACCUCGGAUCAGGUAGGAAGACCCGCUGAACUUAAGCAUAUCAAUAAGCGGAGA